rnacentral:rRNA from 1 species
ACUGAACGCUGGCGGCAGGCCUAACACAUGCAAGUCGAGCGGAUGAAGGGAGCUUGCUCCUGGAUUCAGCGGCGGACGGGUGAGUAAUGCCUAGGAAUCUGCCUGGUAGUGGGGGAUAACGUCCGGAAACGGGCGCUAAUACCGCAUACGUCCUGAGGGAGAAAGUGGGGGAUCUUCGGACCUCACGCUAUCAGAUGAGCCUAGGUCGGAUUAGCUAGUUGGUGGGGUAAAGGCCUACCAAGGCGACGAUCCGUAACUGGUCUGAGAGGAUGAUCAGUCACACUGGAUCUGAGACACGGUCCAGACUCCUACGGGAGGCAGCAGUCGGGAAUAUUGGACAAUGGGCGAAAGCCUGAUCCAGCCAUGCCGCGUGUGUGAAGAAGGUCUUCGGAUUGUAAAGCACUUUAAGUUGGGAGGAAGGGCAGUAAGUUAAUACCUUGCUGUUUUGACGUUACCAACAGAAUAAGCACCGGCUAACUUCGUG